UACGUAGGGUGCAAGCGUUGUCCGGAAUUAUUGGGCGUAAAGAGCUCGUAGGCGGUUUGUCGCGGCUGCUGUGAAAACUCAGGGCUUAACCCUGAGCCUGCAGUGGGUACGGGCAGACUAGAGUGUGGUAGGGGAGAUCGGAAUUCCUGGUGUAGCGGUGAAAUGCGCAGAUAUCAGGAGGAACACCGGUGGCGAAGGCGGAUCUCUGGGCCGAUACUGGCGCUGAGGAGCGAAAGCGUGGGGAGCGAACAGG
rnacentral:rRNA from 1 species